AAGAUGAAUCUGCUGAAGAUUGGGAAGAAAGAAGGAAGUUUGGAGCUGCUGACACUUUCAAAUUUCCAGAUGAUUUUGAUAUAUCUCAACUUAGUUGAGCUAUUAAACAUAUUAUCUGUAUUUUUGAUCAGUUGAUUAGCCUUAGAUUUUGUUUGCAUUUUAGCUUAUUGCUUUGGCAAUGGUUGAUUAUGUCUACUAUGGCCAGGAGAACUAAUAUCUGUUUACAAUGUACAGCCUAUACCACCUCAUCAUUAUGGC
rnacentral:misc_RNA from 1 species